rnacentral:rRNA from 1 species
UGAAGCGGGAAGAGCUCAUUCUGUGAAUCUGUAUACUAUUUUUGGUAUACCGAGUUGUGGAAUAUAGAAGCACAUCAGUUCGAGUUCUGGUCUAAGUCUCUUGGAAAAGAGCAGCUUAGAGGGUGACACUCCCGUUCUUGGCUAGAACUCAAACUUUAGCAUGUGGUUUCGACGAGUCGAGUUGCUUGGGAUUGCAGCUCAAAGUUGGUGGUAAAUUCCAUCUAAAGCUAAAUAUCGGUGGGAGACCGAUAGCGUACAAGUACCGUGAGGGAAAGAUGCAAAGAACUUUGAAAAAAGAGUUAAAGAGUACCUGAAAUUGCUGAAAUGGAAGCGAAGGAAACCAGUGCCGUUCUAUACCAUUUUUCUGUUCUUGCUUGCGAGAAUAGCGCUGUGGUUUAGUACAGGCCAGCGUGAGUUUGAGCCGAAGGAAGCAGCUUUGC